UGUGACUGGGAUUUAUAAAAUCAUUAAAUAAGUGAUCAUACACUAGAUAUUUUUAAACAGAUUGUAAACUUUUGUGACUAUCAACAAUUUCUUAUUUUGUAGGAGCUGGUAAAAAUAGAGUUAGAAGAGUUAGUCACCCAUUUUUGGUCAGAGUAGUUAGUUUGUGCUCUUUGGAAUUGAAUGCUGAAAGACAAGGUUUUCAUAUUUAUUGCAUCUGAAUCCCUCAUUCUCUGUAUUGAUGAUAUGGUCGUAAAGUGUAUUUGGGGUGGGCUACUGUGCCAGCAGGGCCAUUUGAAAAAUGGAAAGGAGCCAGCCAUUGGGAGAGCUAGGAAGAGCUUUUAACCAAAGUGCAGAGUGUCAAAGCAAAAGGCUAGUGGGGCUGGAGGGUGGUGAGAGUGUGAUGUGAGGUUGGAGUGGCAGGCAGGGGUCAGUGACCUUGUGGGGAACGAUAACAUUCAGGUCUUAUUCCAAGUGCAAUAGCAAUGACACAGUUCCAUUCCUGUCAUAAGUCAGUUACUCUGGCUGGAGAAUGGUUUGAAGCGGGAAGGGUGCAGAAUAGAAGCAGGUACCCCAGUUAGGAGGCUCCUAGGCCAGGUGAGAGAUGAAAUGAUGUCAUGGUCUGAGUGGGAUUAUAUUUUGGAAGGGAGCCCAGAACACCUGUUGAUGGAGUAGGUGUGAGAGUGAGAGAAAUGGAUUAAUCAAGGUUGUCUCCUUUUUGAUUUUAGGAACUGGAUGGAUUUUGUGAGAUAGAGAUGCCUUGUGGGAGGAGCAGGUUUAGUGAGAGGUGUUUGAUAGAGCUCUGAGUGCAGGUGUUGAGUGUAUAGUCUGGAGGUGAGGGGAGAGGCCUGGGCUGGGAAGAAGUUGGGAGUUGUAAUAGCAGCGUCAUUUAGAGCCAUAGGAUCGGAUGAGCCCACUCCAGGAGAAUGAGUGUGGAUAGGCAUAGAAGAGGACUCAGAACCAAGGCUGGCACAUGCCGGUGUUCAGGGGCUGCCAGAGAUGACAGAAACGGACACUGAGUUUGAGCAUUUAGGGAGGGCAGAGGAAACAUGGAGAGCCAAGUGGAAGGUGUUGCAGGAAGGUGGUUGUGGUCACUGUUACUGAAGGAUACUGAAGGGUCAGUGGAAUGAGGACAGGGCAGCAGCCAUGAAGUGGAACAUGGUGUAGGGAGGCGCUUGGCUCCAGAGACACACUGUCUGCCUACAUCACUCAACAGGUUUGUAAUUGUCCUAGUCCAUUUGUGCUACUAUAACAGAAUACCUUAGACUGAGUAAUUUUUAAGCAACAGAUUUAUUGCUCACAGUUCUAGAGGCUGGGAAAUCCAAGAUCAAAGCACCAGCAGAUUCAGUGUCUGGCAAGGGCUUGCUCUCUGUUCCCAAGAUGGCACCUUGUUGCCGUGUCCUCACUUGGCAGCAG
rnacentral:lncRNA from 10 species